rnacentral:lncRNA from 1 species
AGACCCCAGACCCCAUCAGUGUUGUGAGAGGGGAAAGCGAGAUGAGAUGUGGUCCGAUAGACAAGCCACCCUAAAGAGAACUUUCUAUAUGGAAGUAACAGCUUCUAACACUGUCUCACUUCUCUCACAGUGGUAACUUCCUGGAAUACAUAUUGAAAAUAAUUCCUAUACCAUAAAAUCUCCAUGACUAAUUUGCCAUGUCUGCCAUUGGUGUGGAAAAAAGGAGUGGAAGUGUAUAUUCAUGUAUUUGACAUUCAAGAAGAAUGGGAGUAAGAAGUGAAGAGAAUGAAGGAGAAUAAGAAAGGCCGGUGAAUAUUUGUGUUGUAUACAGAAAGUGAGAUAUGGGAGGAAUAUCAUAUGAAGAAAUGGAAGAUUCCCAAGGAGAGGGCAAGGUUUAUGCUUCAAGAUCACAUGACAAGAAAGUACCAGACACCCUUGGAAACGCGAUGCUACGUCUCAAUGGGAUUUUCCAGUACAAAGAUUCUUUUCAAAGAACAUAAUUGUGGAUACACACCACUCCUACAGAGAGUGUGUCUUGCAGUGACAGAAGACAGCAUGAUGAGGAAGUUAAAGAAGUAAGAAAAUUAGAAUUUAGAAUGUCAACAUCUUGAGGUAGGUAAAUGCUAUGGGUUUCUCAUUUUUUAGAAAAAAUUUUUUAAUUGAAGUAUAGUUGAUUUAUAGUAUUGUGUUAGUUUCUGGUGUACAGC